rnacentral:rRNA from 1 species
UACAGAGGGUGCGAGCGUUAAUCGGAAUUACUGGGCGUAAAGCGUGCGUAGACGGCUAUCUAAGACGGGUGUGAAAGCCCCGGGCUCAACCUGGGAAUUGCAUUCGAGACUGAAUAGCUAGGGUACGGUAGAGGGAAGUGGAAUUUCCGGUGUAGCGGUGAAAUGCGUAGAUAUCGGAAGGAACAUCAGUGGCGAAAGCGACUUCCUGGACCAGUACCGACGUUCAGGCACGAAAGCGUGGGGAGCAAACAGG